rnacentral:misc_RNA from 1 species
GUAGGUGAACCUGCGGAAGGAUCAUUAUUGAAUGAACUUGGUGUGGUUGUUGCUGGCCCUUUCAGGGGCAUGUGCACACCCAUCAUCCUCAUCUCUCCACCUGUGCACCUCUUGUAGAUUUGGAUUGACUUUCCGAGGCAACUCGGUCGGGAGGACUUGCUGGCAUUAGCUGGCUUUCCUUGCAUUUCCAAGUCUAUGUUUUUUCAUAUACCCCAUUGAAUGUAACAGAAUGUAACAUAUUGGGCCUUUGUGCCUAUAAAAACUUAUACAACUUUCAGCAACGGAUCUCUUGGCUCUC